UGGAUUGUGGCUCAGUGGCAGAGCACCUGCCUAGCAUGUGUGAGGCACUGGGUUCAAUUCUCAGCAACACAU
rnacentral:tRNA from 1 species